GAUGAACGCUGGCGGCGUGCCUAAUACAUGCAAGUCGAACGCGACACCUUCGGGUGUCGAGUGGCGGACGGGUGAGUAACACGUGGGUAACCUGCCCAUCAGCCUGGGAUAACCACCGGAAACGGUGGCUAAUACCGGAUAUGUCUACGGAUGAAAGUCGGGUUUUCUGACACUGAUGGAUGGACCUGCGGCGCAUUAGCUAGUUGGUGAGGUAGUGGCUCACCAAGGCGACGAUGCGUAGCCGACCUGAGAGGGUGAUCGGCCACACUGGGACUGAGACACGGCCCAGACUCCUACGGGAGGCAGCAGUAGGGAAUCUUCCGCAAUGGACGCAAGUCUGACGGAGCAACGCCGCGUGAGUGAAGAAGGUUUUCGGAUCGUAAAGCUCUGUUGUUAAGGAAGAACGUUCAUGGUAGUAACUGGCCAUGAAGUGACGGUACUUAACCAGAAAGCCACGGCUAACUACGUGCCAGCAGCCGCGGUAAAAC
rnacentral:rRNA from 1 species